rnacentral:rRNA from 1 species
CCUACGGGGCGCAGCAGUGGGGGAUAUUGGACAAUGGGCGAAAGCCUGAUCCAGCCAUGCCGCGUGUGUGAAGAAGGCCUUCGGGUUGUAAAGCACUUUCAGUGGGGAAGAAAGCCUUGGGGCUAAUACCCUCGAGGAAGGACAUCACCCACAGAAGAAGCACCGGCUAACUCCGUGCCAGCAGCCGCGGUAAUACGGAGGGUGCGAGUGUUAAUCGGAAUUACUGGGCGUAAAGCGCGCGUAGGCGGUCUGAUAAGCCGGUUGUGAAAGCCCCGGGCUCAACCUGGGAACGGCAUCCGGAACUGUCAGGCUAGAGUGCAGGAGAGGAAGGUAGAAUUCCCGGUGUAGCGGUGAAAUGCGUAGAGAUCGGGAGGAAUACCAGUGGCGAAGGCGGCCUUCUGGACUGACACUGACGCUGAGGUGCGAAAGCGUGGGUAGCAAACAGGAUUAGAUACCCCUGUAGUC